rnacentral:rRNA from 1 species
GAAUAACUCUCAGCAACGAAUAUCUCAGCUCUUGCAUCGAUGAAGAACGUAGUGAAAUGCGAUACUUGGUGUGAAUUGCAGAAUCCCGUGAACCAUCGAGUCUUUGAACGCAAGUUGCGCCUGAAGCUAUUAGGCCGAGGGCACGCCUGCCAGGGUGUCACAC